rnacentral:rRNA from 1 species
GAUGAACGCUGGCGGCGUGCCUAAUACAUGCAAGUCGAGCGAACGGACGAGAAGCUUGCUUCUCUGAUGUUAGCGGCGGACGGGUGAGUAACACGUGGAUAACCUACCUAUAAGACUGGGAUAACUUCGGGAAACCGGAGCUAAUACCGGAUAAUAUUUUGAACCGCAUGGUUCAAAAGUAAAAGACGGUCUUGCUGUCACUUAUAGAUGGAUCCGCGCUGCAUUAGCUAGUUGGUAAGGUAACGGCUUACCAAGGCAACGAUGCAUAGCCGACCUGAGAGGGUGAUCGGCCACACUGGAACUGAGACACGGUCCAGACUCCUACGGGAGGCAGCAGUAGGGAAUCUUCCGCAAUGGGCGAAAGCCUGACGGAGCAACGCCGCGUGAGUGAUGAAGGUCUUCGGAUCGUAAAACUCUGUUAUUAGGGAAGAACAUAUGUGUAAGUAACUGUGCACAUCUUGACGGUACCUAAUCAGAAAGCCACGGCUAACUACGUGCCAGCAGCCGCGGUAAUACGUAGGUGGCAAGCGUUAUCCGGAAUUAUUGGGCGUAAAGCGCGCGUAGGCGGUUUUUUAAGUCUGAUGUGAAAGCCCACGGCUCAACCGUGGAGGGUCAUUGGAAACUGGAAAACUUGAGUGCAGAAGAGGAAAGUGGAAUUCCAUGUGUAGCGGUGAAAUGCGCAGAGAUAUGGAGGAACACCAGUGGCGAAGGCGACUUUCUGGUCUGUAACUGACGCUGAUGUGCGAAAGCGUGGGGAUCAAACAGGAUUAGAUACCCUGGUAGUCCACGCCGUAAACGAUGAGUGCUAAGUGUUAGGGGGUUUCCGCCCCUUAGUGCUGCAGCUAACGCAUUAAGCACUCCGCCUGGGGAGUACAACCGCAAGGUUGAAACUCAAAGGAAUUGACGGGGACCCGCACAAGCGGUGGAGCAUGUGGUUUAAUUCGAAGCAACGCGAAGAACCUUACCAAAUCUUGACAUCCUUUGACAACUCUAGAGAUAGAGCUUUCCCCUUCGGGGGACAAAGUGACAGGUGGUGCAUGGUUGUCGUCAGCUCGUGUCGUGAGAUGUUGGGUUAAGUCCCGCAACGAGCGCAACCCUUAAGCUUAGUUGCCAUCAUUAAGUUGGGCACUCUAAGUUGACUGCCGGUGACAAACCGGAGGAAGGUGGGGAUGACGUCAAAUCAUCAUGCCCCUUAUGAUUUGGGCUACACACGUGCUACAAUGGACAAUACAAAGGGCAGCGAAACCGUGAGGUCAAGCAAAUCCCAUAAAGUUGUUCUCAGUUCGGAUUGUAGUCUGCAACUCGACUACAUGAAGCUGGAAUCGCUAGUAAUCGUAGAUCAGCAUGCUACGGUGAAUACGUUCCCGGGUCU